rnacentral:rRNA from 1 species
AACCUUUACACUGCACGACAGUGCGAUAAGGGAAUCCCAAGUGCGUAGGCAUAGAGCCUACGCUUUUGUCCACCGUAGGGAGGUGGACGAAUAAGGGCUGGGCAAGACCGGUGCCAGCCGCCGCGGUAAUACCGGCAGCCCGAGUGAUGGCCGAUCUUAUUGGGCCUAAAGCGUCCGUAGCUGGCCGCGCAAGUCUAUCGGAAAAUCCACCCGCUCAACGGGUGGGCGUCCGGUAGAAACUGCGUGGCUUGGGACCGGAAGGCGCGACGGGUACGUCCGGGGUAGGAGUGAAAUCCUGUAAUCCUGGACGGACCGCCGAUGGCGAAAGCACGUCGCGAAGACGGAUCCGACAGUGAGGGACGAAAGCUAGGGUCUCGAACCGGAUUAGAUACCCGGGUAGUCCUAGCCGUAAACGAUGCCUGUUAGGUGUGACUCCCACUACGAGUGGGUGUUGUGCCGUAGGGAAGCCGCUAAACAGGCCGCCUGGGAAGUACGUCCGCAAGGAUGAAACUUAAAGGAAUUGGCGGGGGAGCAC